rnacentral:rRNA from 1 species
UGCUCGAGUGGCGAACGGGUGAGUAACACGUGAGUAACCUGCCCUUGACUUUGGGAUAACUUCAGGAAACUGGGGCUAAUACCGGAUAGGAGCUCCUGCUGCAUGGUGGGGGUUGGAAAGUUUCGGCGGUUGGGGAUGGACUGCGGCUUAUCAGCUUGUUGGUGGGGUAGUGGCUUACCAAGGCUUUGACGGGUAGCCGGCCUGAGAGGGUGACCGGCCACAUUGGGACUGAGAUACGGCCCAG